UGAGGAAUUUUGCGCAAUGGGAGCAAUCCUGACGCAGCAACGCCGCGUGGGUGAUGAAGGCCUUCGGGUCGUAAAGCCCUGUCAGGUGGGAAGAAUGUCCCGGGACUGAACAGGUUUCGGGAGUGACGGUACCGCCAGAGGAAGCACCGGCUAACUCCGUGCCAGCAGCCGCGGUAAUACGGAGGGUGCAAGCGUUAUUCGGAAUUACUGGGCGUAAAGGGCGUGCAGGCGGGAGAGCAAGGCUGAUGUGAAAGCACCGGGCUUAACCCGGGAAGUGCAUUGGAAACUGUGGGACUUGAGUACUGGAGAGGAUGGGUGAAUUCCCGGUGUAGAGGUGAAAUUCGUAGAGAUCGGGAGGAAUAUCAGUGGCGAAGGCGCCCAUCUGGACGGUAACUGACGCUGAGACGCGAAAGCGUGGGGAGCAAACA
rnacentral:rRNA from 1 species